UGGGGAAUAUUGCACAAUGGGCGAAAGCCUGAUGCAGCAACGCCGCGUGAACGAUGAAGGUCUUCGGAUCGUAAAGUUCUGUUGCAGGGGAAGAUAAUGACGGUACCCUGUGAGGAAGCCCCGGCUAACUACGUGCCAGCAGCCGCGGUAAUACGUAGGGGGCUAGCGUUAUCCGGAUUUACUGGGCGUAAAGGGUGCGUAGGUGGUCCUUCAAGUCGGUGGUUAAAGGCUACGGCUCAACCGUAGUAAGCCGCCGAAACUGGAGGACUUGAGUGCAGGAGAGGAAAGUGGAAUUCCCAGUGUAGCGGUGAAAUGCGUAGAUAUAUGGAGGAACACCGGUGGCGAAAGCGGCUCUCUGGCUUGUAACUGACGCUGAGGCUCGAAAGCGUGGGGAGCAAACAGGAUUAGAUACCCUGGUAGUCCACGCCGUAAACGAUGAGUGCUAGGUGUUGGGUCCUUUCCGGGACUCAGUGCCGCAGCUAACGCAUUAAGCACUCCGCCUGGGGAGUACGACCGCAAGGUUG
rnacentral:rRNA from 1 species